GACGAACGCUGGCGGCGUGCUUAACACAUGCAAGUCGAGCGGUAAGGCCCUUUCGGGGGUACACGAGCGGCGAACGGGUGAGCAACACGUGGGUGACCUGCCCUCAGCUCUGGGAUAAGCCUGGGAAACCGGGUCUAAUACCGGAUAUGACUCCAUGACGCAUGUUGUGGGGUGGAAAGCCUUGUGCGGCUGAGGAUGGGCCCGCGGCCUAUCAGCUUGUUGGUGGGGNGAUGGCCUACCAAGGCGACGACGGGUAGCCGGCCUGAGAGGGCGACCGGCCACACU
rnacentral:rRNA from 1 species